UUGUCAGUUGUUGCAUGUUCAUUGAGUCUUGUGUGAAGACCGACAGAUGCCUUCACAUAAGACUCAAUGAACAUGCAACAACUGACAA